UCGUGCUACACGGGGAGUUAGCGGUGCCCUGUACCCGCAAUCCGCUACAGCGGGGUGGAGUUCCCCUACUGAGGUCUGCGGCUUUUGGGUGUCGGUCUACCUGCAUUGGCGUUGAGGGUUGGGUCCUGCGCGGCAGGGUACCAUGAACCCCGUCAGGUCCGGAAGGAAGCAGCGGUUAGUGGCCAUCCCUGGGUGCCGUAGGGGCGCCUGAUCUGAGCCAUCCUGUGGGAAAGACGACCUGCGGCGGGAACGAAGGGGGGUGCACGA
rnacentral:SRP_RNA from 1 species